GUCCACGCCCUAAACGAUGAGAGCUGGGUGUCGGUGCCAUCUGGCAUCGGUGCCGAAGCCAACGCGUUAAGCUCUCCGCCUGGGGACUACGAACGCAAGUUUAAACUCAAAGGAAUUGACGGGGCCCGCACAAGCAGCGGAGCGUGUGGUUCAAUUCGAUGCAACACGAAGAACCUUACCAGGGCUUGACAUGUAUGUGGUAGGAAGGGAACCGGACGACCGCAAGGGAGCAUGCACAGGUGCUGCAUGGCUGUCGU
rnacentral:rRNA from 1 species